rnacentral:rRNA from 1 species
UACAGAGGUCUCAACCGUUGUUCGGAUUCAUUGGGCGUAAAGGGUGCGUAGGCGGUCGUGCAAGUCGGAUGUGAAAUCUCAGGGCUCAACCCCGGAACUGCACUGGAUACUGCUUUGCUAGAGUACUGGAGAGGGAACUGGAAUUUACGGUGUAGCAGUGAAAUGCGUAGAUAUCGUAAGGAAGACCAGCGGCGAAGGCGAGUUCCUGGACAGUUACUGACGCUGAGGCACGAAGGCCAGGGGAGCAAACGGG